ensembl:lncRNA
CUGCUGGCUCCUGUUAAGUUUUUCAUCUACCAGGGCCCCAAGUCCUUCUCAGCAGGGCUAUUCUCAAGGAAUUCUUACCUGAAUAAAUGGCCAGAUUCUUGAGUUCUUAGGAUUCUGGACAGGCCUAGCUCCAUUUCCCCAGCCCCUCCCCCUCACAGGAAGCUGUCGGAAAAGUGAGAAGGAGGAGUUGCUGCUCGAUUGAGAUAAACUAUUUUACUAAAAAUGGGUGACAUCUGGCCAAGAUGAUGUGAGGUCAGAAGAGAGCUAUACACAAGUAAAUGGAGAAGCUGAUCUAGGUGCAUAGGAUUGCCAGAUGGAGAACAACAGGCAACACAAUGGCUUAUCUCAAACAUACAUGGAUUCGAUAUGACCCUACAUCCUCUGGGACUCUCAUGUAUGCAGACUGAAACAGGACAGUGACUCCACCACCUUCCCGGACAUCCUGUUCCAGCACCUGACCACUCUUUUGGAGAAGUUUUUCCCAAUAUCCAACCUGAACCUCCCCUGGUGCAAAUUGAGGCCACUCCCUCUCAUCUUGCCGCUGAUUAUGUGGGAGAAGAGGCUAACUUCAACCCUGCCAGAACCUCCUUUCAGGUAGCUGUAAAGACCUAUAAAGUCUCCCCUGAGCCUCCUCUUCUCCGAAUUAAACUACCCCAGUUCCCUCAGUUGUUCCUCAUAAGACUUGUGCUCCAGACCCUUCACCAGUUUUAUUGCCUUUCUCUGGACAUGCUCCAGGGCCGCAAUGUAUAUUUCUGGUAGUGAGGGGCCCAAAUGGGGAAGUCACCUCACUGCUCCUGAUGGCAACAUAUAAUACAGAAAUAAAUUCUACUAACA